rnacentral:rRNA from 1 species
UGGGGAAUAUUGCACAAUGGGCGCAAGCCUGAUGCAGCCAUGCCGCGUGUAUGAAGAAGGCCUUCGGGUUGUAAAGUACUUUCAGCGGGGAGGAAGGCGAUAAGGUUAAUAACCUUGUCGAUUGACGUUACCCGCAGAAGAAGCACCGGCUAACUCCGUGCCAGCAGCCGCGGUAAUACGGAGGGUGCAAGCGUUAAUCGGAAUUACUGGGCGUAAAGCGCACGCAGGCGGUCUGUCAAGUCGGAUGUGAAAUCCCCGGGCUCAACCUGGGAACUGCAUUCGAAACUGGCAGGCUAGAGUCUUGUAGAGGGGGGUAGAAUUCCAGGUGUAGCGGUGAAAUGCGUAGAGAUCUGGAGGAAUACCGGUGGCGAAGCGGCCCCCUGGACAAAGACUGACGCUCAGGUGCGAAAGCGUGGGGAGCAAACA